rnacentral:lncRNA from 1 species
AAAUAUUCGAUUAUGCAUUAGUCGAUUGAGCCGGAGGAGGAGGGCUUAGGUGGGAAUCGAUCGGGAGUGAGUCGACGAAGGGGAUGGCAAUGGGAGGGAGGGGAAUAGGCGGCAUCGUCGGAGGAAUUAGUGGAAACAAUUAAUUAAUAAUUGUAAAAUAAAAAUACAUAUGUUCAAAAUACCGAUAAUACCCUGCAUUAUUUUGAUGACAAUUGUACUGGUUAAACUUAAUUGAAUAAAACAUGAUUAAAUAUAAUUGGCUAUAUCAAUAUAGGACAAUAUUUGCAUGCAACGUGGACUGCGUGGAGCGAGGCCACAUUUAAAUAUUGUCCCACAGAGUAUAUACCCAGCUGACCAGCUCACAUGCAUGAAACGCCCGGGUUCUAAGUUCAUCCUCUCGUUUCCCUCCCAUAUCCUCCUGUUUGACAAAUUCAAAUCCAUAAAUUUCCUCUGAAGUUAGUUUGAACCAGUUCUCAAUCUACAAAGAAGAUGAAGAUGCAGAGGCUACAAAUUAUACCUUUCGCGUUCCUCUGUUUGGUGGUUCUCUUGACUGUUCGAUCCCAGAAUUUGCCCCCAGCAAAGUACGAUGGGUUUCUCUACAGUCGCGGCCGGGCCGACCCGGACGCCGUUAUGAUCCGACUUGCCCUGAUAGCAAAGACUCGUGGCCUCCUCUCAAGCAAGCUCUCGACCACUACGGCUCUCGUGCCCUGAUACCUUUACCGUGAGUUUUCCUUUGAAUUUUGAAUUACUUUAUUCUAUAUUCAGUUGAAGGAAAUACGUUGGUUUGUUUGCACGCAAGGUGUUUGUUACAAUUCCUAAAUGGGUUUCAGUUCAGCGGUUAGGUUUGUAUGGAUGUGAAUCCAAGUUCAUUUAACCAAAUUUGUCAUUGUUGUCUACGGCAGUUACCAUGACAAUGCGUAUGUCCCUUGUCAAGCUCUACAGAUAGAGAAUUCAUUGAAUGCUUCCUCCACGUUUCCCUUACUGGAGCGAUUCUUUCAAUAUCAGGUGAGAAUUUAUUGAAUGCUUAAUUAUGAUAAGAGGGCGUUUGGGUCGUCAACUUACUACUGUCCAGACGAGAAUACUUGAACCGAAUUGGCUUUCUUACUUGUAAUAGGCUUUUUGGUUCAGUCUUCUUGUUUCCUGUUUGGUUUACAUUCUUCCUCUGCUAACACAUUUAGUCCCUUUUAAUUAUCAUAGGAUGGUUGCACGAUCUUGUCAUUCCGUGUCGGAGAUAAUGUGAAAAAUAAAACACAUUUAGUUCUACCCUUUUGGAGUUUUGCUUGAUUUUCUAAUGAAAUCAACACCCUCUUUAUAAAAAAAAAUCCACAAUCUUCACUCUUCAGGUCCAAUCCCAUUUGAUCUAUGCAUCUUUGACUCUUUGUCAUCAUCAUUAAUGUUCAAGUUAGCUGUCCAGCUGAGUGGACACUAGGCAUUAGACAGUGGACUGGUGGUAUAUGUAUUGGGAUAUUAGUAACAAUAAAUUGUAUUUCAUUAGAGAAAUGAGUAUUAUUGGUAUUCAUAAUAUCCAAACAAGAUUUGCAAGUAACCCAGGAUACCCAACACGUUAAUUUAUAAUUCCAUGUCCUGUUUUACAUAAAUAUUACAGCUACUUAUAAUCCUAAAAAAUUACAGGACAUGUGUGGAUAUUAGUAUACUCAUAUACAUGUUACCCAUUGUCCCCCUACCCCGUAACAUCAAGAGCCCGGUCAGGGCAAUAAGGAAAUCGAGUUUGCGAGGAGCGAGGGCCAUUCUAAACUCUUAGAUCAUUCAUUUAAAAUUUUCAGAUUUAAGAAAUUAGAUUAAAAGAGCAAAUAAGUCAUUGAAUAAUCUUUUUUUUUUAAAUACGCAACAAUAACUUCGGUAGCUGGACUCGGAGCUCUUGCCCACGACUGCCCAUCACGUUUUCCAGUCUGUAAAUUCCCGAUUCAAGAAAAUUUCGCUCAGCGAACCACCUUUGACGGGACUAUUUUCUAGAAAAGAAUUAUGCCAACUUUGUAUACUCGUUUUUAACCCAUCAUGUUCUUUUUAUUCAAGACCUUAUGUGCAUAGUAAAAUAUUAUAUUGUAUCGGUGUUUUGAUAGUGUUGUGUGGUUAAGUCAGUAUACAAAUAGUAGAGUACAAAUGCUUGACCCUGGAAUCUUUGAUCACUUGUGACAGUCUGUGGAUGAAUUUGAAAGAUGACGAGGAAGCUUUUCAUAGAGAAAAAGUAAAGUAGAAUUGGUUAAAGUUGGGGAUUCAAAUAUAACAGGUUGAGGUUUAACUGUUUUUUAUAUAUGUAUUAGAUUAAGUUGUCGUGGGAAUGUUCAAACUUCAAACUUAUUAAUUAACUUUCUUUUAAAAAGCGUUUAAAAAAAUGAUAUCAAAGAUUUAUCGCUGGGAGAUUCUGAAAUAAAAUUAUGUCAAUUUUAAUAUAUAACAAUUUUAUAUGUAUAAGAAUUAGUGGAUCUGUAUUUUUUUUAGAUUUUUGUUUAAGAGGCGUAUUAAGAAAAGUUAUAAAAAAAUUAAUAAUUUUUUUUAAAAUAAUUUAAAUUAUUUUGAUGCAACAUUCCGAAUAUAUAUAUGGUUCAACCGUUCAUCUUACCACGAAUUAUGUCCAUGUUCGGUGUUCCAUCGCGCUUGGGAUAGGCUACAACACACCCCGCACAGUAUACCCAGCUCACAUGGAACGGCAGCGGCUCUAAGUUCAUCCUCUCGUUUCCCUUCCAUAUCCUCCUGUUUGACAAAUUCAAAUCCAUAAAUUUCCUCCGAAGUUAGUUUGAACCGUCUCUUUGAUUCGCCCACCAGUUUUCAAUCUACAAAGAAGAUGCAGAUGCUACAGAUAAUACCUCUCGUGUUCCUCUGUUUGGUCCUCCUGAGUUCUCUGAAUUCGCUCUCUGUUCGAUCCCAGAAUUUGCCCCCAGCAAAGUACGAUGGGUUUCUCUACACUUGCGGCCGGGCCGACCCGGACGCCGUUCUGAUCGAGGCCUUCUUCGAC